AUUGCAUCAAUGUUUAAAUAAUUGAUGCAAUAUCGACUAUGUCGAAUAAAAUUCUAGGUAGAAUUAUGAUAAUGACAUUGUCUGCCUAUGUGUCUUGACCAAAUUACGUGCCAGCAGUCGCGGUAAUACGUAGAAGACUAGUGUUAUUCAUCUUUAAUAGGUUUAAAGGGUACCUAGACGGUAAAUCAAGCCUGAAAUAUGGGACUAAUGUACUAGAGUUACUUACGAGGGGGUAUUAAAGUACUGCUGGUGUAGAGAUGAAAUUCUGUCAUACCUCGUUUCACAGGAAACACUACGGCACAGGUAUAGGCGAAAGCAUCUCCUUAUGUGAUAACUGACGUUGAAGGACGAAGGCUUUGUGUAGCGAACAGGAUUAGAUACCCCAGUAGUCAAAGCAGAAAAUGAUGAAUGUCAUAGAUUAGAUAUAUAGUUUAUUCUAUAAAUGAAAGUGUAAGCAUUCCACCUCAAGAGUAAUUUGGCAACAUUGGAACUGAAAUCAUUAGACCGUUUCUGAAACCAGUAGUGAAGUAUGUUGUUUAAUUUGAUAAUCCGCAAAAAACCUUACCACAAUUUGAAUAUUUUAAUUUUUAUUUUCUUUAUCUGUUUUUGUAUUGCCUUGCUUGAUUUUUUACUAAAAAAAGUUAUGUAAAAGAAAAAUAAGAAGAAGAAAAUAAAAAUUAAUUUACAAGCGUUGCACGGCUGUCUUCAGUUAAUGUCGUGAGAUUCUGGUUAGUUCCAUUAAUUAACGCAA
rnacentral:rRNA from 1 species